UCCCUCAUUUAUAGUCAUCUGCUAAUUGCUUGAGCUUUGUCAUCUCUUCCUCUUCACCGGAGGAGACUCAGGCACAAUUAGGUUUCAAUCUUGACUGGCACUUUUGGACACCACAGAACACAGAACACAAAUUAUUUUGGAACUGUGGCUGUUGCUCAAAAAUGCUGAAGCUGAAAGAUCUGGAGACUGAAACUCUCCCUCCAUGAAAUCAGUAAGGUCGUUGUCAGCAGUGCUCGUCUCGCUCGUGUUGUUCUGCUAAUACACCUUAAUCUGUCCUGGGGGACCUGAGCUAAUCACAGCUGUUCUGUCGAGGCUGUUAGCAUGGAUUUGGGGUGCUGCGGCUGCUGCUCUCCUGGUUUCCUGGUUUGGACACUUGUCUUGCUGUAAUAAAGUUGUAAGAAAGACAAUACUCAUUAAGUUUUUUCAUAAACACUUCCCCUUCUAGAUUUAGAGAUACCACCGUGAAGCUAAUCCAUAUUUUGAUCCAUGUUGCAAGGUGCUUAUG